GUGCUCACUUCGGCAGCACAUAUACUAAAAUUGUAAUGAUAGAGAGAAGAAUAGCAUGCCCCCUGUGCAAGGGUGACAUGCAAAUUUGUGAAGCGUUCCAUAUUAUU
ensembl:snRNA U6 U6 spliceosomal RNA